rnacentral:rRNA from 1 species
UACAGAGGGUGCAAGCGUUGUUCGGAAUUAUUGGGCGUAAAGCGCGUGUAGGCGGUUUUGCAAGUCGGGUGUGAAAGCCCUCAGCUCAACUGAGGAAGUGCGCCCGAAACUGCAGAGCUUGAGUACCGGAGAGGAUGGUGGAAUUCCCCAAGUAGAGGCGAAAUUCGUAGAUAUGGGGAGGAACACCGGUGGCGAAGGCGACCAUCUGGACGGAUACUGACGCUGAGACGCGAAAGCGUGGGUAGCAAACAGG